GAGCAAUGAUGACAAGAUUUGACUACUGAACUUCGAAAUUAUGAAGGUUUCUCUAUACUUGAUCUGAGCUCA